UCCGUAGGUGAACCUGCGGAAGGAUCAUUAAAGAGACGUUGCCCUUCGGGGUAUACCUCCCACCCUUUGUUUAUUAUACCUUUGUUGCUUUGGCGGGCCCGUCUUCGGACCACCGGCUCCGGCUGGUCAGCGCCCGCCAGAGGACCUAAAACUCUGUUUGUUAAUAUUGUCUGAGUACUAUAUAAUAGUUAAAACUUUCAACAACGGAUCUCUUGGUUCUGGCAUCGAUGAAGAACGCAGCGAAAUGCGAUAAGUAAUGUGAAUUGCAGAAUUCAGUGAAUCAUCGAAUCUUUGAACGCACAUUGCGCCCCCUGGUAUUCCGGGGGGCAUGCCUGUUCGAGCGUCAUUAAAAAGCCUUCAGGCGAGCUUGGCUCGCCUGGUCCUGAGGGAAUGGUCACCAUUUUCUGGUUGCCCAUCCCCGAAAUCCAACGGCGGACAACCACCGGUGGAACUGCUGGCGUAGUGAGUGAUUCUUUCGCCAGUGGCCACCGAGGGACAAGUCUGGCCGGUUUAACCCCCACAUCCAACGGUUGACCUCGGAUCAGUAGGGAUACCCGGCUGAACUUAAGGCAUAUCAAUAAGGCGGGAGGGGAAGGUCGGACUGGCCAAGGGCACACAGGGGGGGAUA
rnacentral:rRNA from 1 species